CUUUUUUCAGUUACAUUAUUUUCUACCUCAUGAAUCAUGUAUUCAGUUGAUAUAGUUAUUUGUUGAUGUUGCUAAGGGAAUAUUUCCACCUUUUAUACAUCAAAAGAAUUUUGUAGAUACAUACUUUGAGCAUAUCUUGUAUAUAUUCAUCAAUUAAAUUGGUUUCUUAGGGCCCUAAUUGACUUUAGUGUGCUUCCAGGUUCCAGCUUUUGUUUAAACUGGAACAUAUCUAUAUAAUUUUUAAUAUGUUACCUUUGCUUAUUUCUCUGGAGCACCUCAUCAAUUUUUUUUCACUGUGUUGCAAGAUUUUUAAUAUUUGUAUGCUAGAUAAUGGAUAUUUCAUUUGUAACAGGCAUGCAAUAGUCUAUGCAUGAAGUUUACCUGCUGAAUCGACCCUUUUUCAGUGUAUUUCUUAUUUCAAAUAACCUUUUGCUAUGCUUUCUUCAAAGUGAUGAACUUUUCAUUUUUAACAAUAGCCUCCUAUUUUAUAACUUGUAUCACUUUUCUCUCUUUAUUUACUUAAAGCAAAGCUGGUUAUACGCUAUUAGUUGUGGGAAGAAGAAGAUAAUUUGGAAACUGAAAGCUUUGAACUCAUGUUCACGAGUAAUAGGUUGACGGAAAAUUUUGUUGGGUUAACCAUUUUGUGGAAUAAAAUAACAUUGGAAUUAUGACCUAUAGAUAUACAUACCAUUAUAUGCAACUCAUGAUAAAAUUUUCCAUGUGACAUCAUAAAUAGGCUUUAUUUUCCUCUGCAAGCCAUGAAGACCUUGG
rnacentral:misc_RNA from 1 species